rnacentral:rRNA from 1 species
UUACUCCAAGUCUGCGCGAAUGCAGUUUGACGAUUAGAGUGAGAUUUUGGCUCAGAAUCAGCUAGUACGGCGCGUAUUAAGCAUGCAAGUCGAGCGGCAAGGGCCUCCGGGACCCUAGAGCGCCGGACGGGUGAGUAACACGUGGACAAUCUGCCCCCCGGCCGGGGAUAGCCCAGGGAAACCUGGAUUAAUACCGGAUGAGACGGGACGCACGAUGGUGCGGUCCGGGAAAGGCGCUGCGGCGCCGCCGGGGGAUGAGUCCGCGACCCAUUAGCUGGCCGGCGGGGUAAAGGCCCACCGUGGCGACGAUGGGUAGCCGGCCUGAGAGGGUGGACGGCCACAUUGGAACUGAGACACGGUCCAGACUCCUACGGGAGGCAGCAGCUAAGAAUCUUCCGCAAUGGGCGAAAGCCUGACGGAGCGACGCCGCGUGAACGAAGAAGGCCGUGAGGUUGUAAAGUUCUUUUCGGGAGGGGGAAUUACCGUGGCAGGGAAUGGCCGCGGGAUGACGUGAAUCCCGGAAUAAGCCCCGGCUAACUACGUGCCAGCAGCCGCGGUAACACGUAGGGGGCGAGCGUUGUUCGGAAUCAUUGGGCGUAAAGGGCGUGCAGGCGGUCCUGCAAGUCCGGCGUGAAAGACCCCGGCCCAACCGGGGGGACGCGCUGGAAACUGCGGGGCUUGAGUACAGGAGGGGAUGCCGGAAUUCCAGGUGUAGGGGUGAAAUCUGUAGAUAUCUGGAAGAACACCGAUGGCGAAGGCAG